rnacentral:rRNA from 1 species
GGGUCAGUAGGUUGGUCGUGCCACCGGUACGUACUGGUCUCACUGAUUCCUCCUUCCUGAAGAACCGUAAUGCCAUUAAUUUGGUGUUGCGGGGAAACAGGACUGUUAUUUUGAAAAAAUUAGAGUGUUUAAAGCAAGCUAACGCUUUAAUACAUUAGCAUGGAAUAAUGAAAUAGGACGAUCGAUCCUAUUUUGUUGGUUUCUAGGAUUGACGUA